rnacentral:rRNA from 1 species
UACGUAGGGGGCUAGCGUUGUCCGGAAUCAUUGGGCGUAAAGAGCGUGUAGGCGGCCCGGUAAGUCCGCUGUAAAAGUCAAAGGCUCAACCUUUGAAUGUCAGUGGAUACUGCCGGGCUAGAGUCCGGAAGAGGCGAGUGGAAUUCCCGGUGUAGCGGUGAAAUGCGCAGAUAUCGGGAGGAACACCUAUGGCGAAGGCAGCUCGCUGGGACGUUACUGACGCUGAGACGCGAAAGCGUGGGGAGCAAACAGG